CCUACGGGAGGCAGCAGUGGGGAAUAUUGGGCAAUGGAGGAAACUCUGACCCAGCAAUGCCGCGUGAAUGAAGAAGGUCUUCGGAUUGUAAAGUUCUUUAGUCAGGGAAGAAUAAGAUGACGGUACCUUAAGAAUAAGCUCCGGCUAACAACGUGCCAGCAGCCGCGGUAAUACGGAGGGAGCAAGCGUUGUUCGGAAUGACGGGGCGUAAAGGGGGAGUAGGCGGUUCGACCAGGUAGAAGUGAAAUACCCAGGGCUUAACUCGGGUGCUGCUUCUAAAACUGUAAGACUUGAGUGCAGUAGAGGUUAGUGGAAUUCCUAGUGUAGCGGUGGAAUGCGUAGAUAUUAGGAGGAACACCAGAGGCGAAGGCGGCUAACUGGACUGCAACUGACGCUGAGGCACGAAAGUGUGGGGAGCAAACAGGAUUAGAUACCCUGGUAGUC
rnacentral:rRNA from 1 species